rnacentral:rRNA from 1 species
CACGUAGGGCGCAAGCGUUGUCCGGAAUUAUUGGGCGUAAAGAGCUCGUAGGCGGUCUGUUGCGUCCGCUGUGAAAACCCGGGGCUUAACCCCUGGCUUGCAGUGGAUACGGACAGACUAGAGGUAGGUAGGGGAGAAUGGAAUUCCCGGUGUAGCGGUGAAAUGCGCAGAUAUCGGGAGGAACACCGAUUGCGAAGGCAGCUCGCUGGGACGUCACUGACGCUGAGACGCGAAAGCGUGGGGAGCAAACAGG